UACGUAGGGUGCGAGCGUUGUCCGGAAUUACUGGGCGUAAAGAGCUCGUAGGCGGUUUGUCGCGUUGUUCGUGAAAACUCACAGCUUAACUGUGGGCGUGCGGGCGAUACGGGCAGACUGGAGUACUGCAGGGGAGACUGGAAUUCCUGGUGUAGCGGUGGAAUGCGCAGAUAUCAGGAGGAACACCGGUGGCGAAGGCGGGUCUCUGGGCCGAUACUGACGCUGAGGAGCGAAAGCGUGGGGAGCGAACAGG
rnacentral:rRNA from 1 species